AUGCCCAAUGGGGACAGGAUCAGGGAGUUAACCGAUUUAAGUGCAUGCAGGAAGCGCCUAAUGAAUGCAGGCUGCAACUGUGGUUACAGCUUGUGGGGCAGAGGGCAGGGGGCCCUCUCAACAGGCCCAGUAGGAGGUCCUCCGUGGAGGUGCUCAGGCUCCGGGGAGCGCAGGGACAGGGACACAGCCGCGGCCAGCGGAGUGCCGGCGCAGGCAGGCUGCGCUGGCUCCGGGCUGAGGUCGGGGCCGGUGGAGAGGGACCGGAGCAGCAGUGAGCAGGCGGUGCUGGGGAGCUGCUGCGGACGGCCGGCGCUCCCGGGAGCCCGCGUGGCCGAGAGGGAGCCCAGUCCUCCCGCAGCGAGGCCGGCUCGAGCGCCACAGCGCUCCCGAGCGAGCGCGCGCCCGGCUGCACGGCGGCGGGGGAGGGGCUGCAGUACCUCCGGGGCAGGUGUGCAGGGCGCGAGCUCUCCGGGCAGGCGCCUGUGGUCUGCGGUCGGUCGGAAUGAGGGGCCGGGCGUGGGCCGGCAGGUCCGGGUGUGCCCGGCCGGCCGGGGCUGGUGGGGACGCGGCUCCGCGAGAGGACGGGACCGCCGGCUGCGUCUCCAGCAGGAGGCGGCGCGGGCCCCUGGCGGGCCCCGACCGACCGUGCCGCGCAGGUGUUUUCACCGUGAUGACAACAGGUGCCCUCCUCCGCCACCAUCGCUGAUUCCAGGCCAGAGCCGUGCGAGGACCAGGGAGGUGAAUCUGACCCGGCGGCGUUGUGUCUCCUGGGAAAUCGAGGCUUGGGAGAAAUCACUGGGAUUGGCCCCCUUGGAAGGACCACAGCACAAAACAGGUAAGCAGCAGAUCUGUGCUCAGUGUGUCGUCAAGGGAGUGCUUGGGGGAAAGGAUAGAGAACCGAGGUUGACAGCGUGGGAUCCAGGCGGGCGUGGGAUCUGGGUGGGCGCAGUGCAGGGAGUGAAGCCGCUGCUUGGGGAGCCUGUAUCCCAUACUGGAGUGCUGGUUCCAGUCCCAGCUCCUCCACUUCCCAUCCAGCCGCCGGAGAACGUACAACUUGGGUCCCUGCCACCCACAGGGAGACCUGGAUAGAGUCCUGGGCUCCUGGCUUAGGCCUGGCCCAGUCCUCACUGUGUCGGGAAUUUGGUGGUGGUGGUGGGGGUGAACCAGCAGAUGGAAGAUCUCUCUUUCUCUUGGCGUCUCUGCUUUUCAAAUAAAAUUAAAACAGAUAAAAGCUCGGAAAGAAGA
rnacentral:lncRNA from 1 species